AAUGGACUUUUUUUUUUUUUUUUUUUUUUUGUCACUUUCCAAUCUGGAUUGAUUAGGACUGAAAGUUCUGCGGUGUGCCAACCCAAGUGAAGAAUAAUUCCAGAAAUUUAACACAGUCUGUUCAGAAUUAGAAUGAAAAACACCUCAGCAAUAACUGGUGAAACUAAAAGAGUUGUUGGAGCUGCCUACUAUAGAAUUGAAAGUAUUAUUUCCAGUUCUCGUUGGUAUGGGGAUCAAACACAUUUCAUCUCUUUACCAAUAAACAGCAAAAAUAUCCAAGAAUAUUUUAUAAAGUUUCGAGAGACUAUUCUAUCAACUUGUCAAAAAGUGAUAGAUUAUUUAGGGUAGCUAUGUUAUGUUAUUGGAGCACGAAAGAGCAGUCUGCUUCAGGAAAGUUUUUAUGGAAACUGUUGUAAAUUGUCAGUUUAAGUCUGUCUUCAGCUGUUAAACCAUAUAUCCACAGCUAAACCAGUAUCAUCUUUAAAACUGUUCAAGGUAACUAACAAUCUGCUCCUUUAUUUAAGAAAAUUUAUUUAAUCUCUUUUGAA
rnacentral:lncRNA from 1 species